UGGGGAAUAUUGGACAAUGGGCGAAAGCCUGAUCCAGCCAUGCCGCGUGUGUGAAGAAGGUCUUCGGAUUGUAAAGCACUUUAAGUUGGGAGGAAGGGCAGUAAGCGAAUACCUUGCUGUUUUGACGUUACCGACAGAAUAUGCACCGGCUAACUCUGUGCCAGCAGCCGCGGUAAUACAGAGGGUGCAAGCGUUAAUCGGAAUUACUGGGCGUAAAGCGCGCGUAGGUGGUUCGUUAAGUUGAAUGUGAAAGCCCCGGGCUCAACCUGGGAACUGCAUCCAAAACUGGCGAGCUAGUGUAGGGCAGAGGGUGGUGGAAUUUCCUGUGUAGCGGUGAAAUGCGUAGAUAUAGGAAGGAGCACCAGUGGCGAAGGCGACCACCUGGGCUCAUACUGACACUGAGGUGCGAAAGCGUGGGGAGCAAACAGG
rnacentral:rRNA from 1 species